GUUAGGGUUGUUCUGUUAAUGGCUGGAAGAUGUGCUGGACUGUAGCUCUGUGAAAAAGAUCAACGUGUUAUUUUUAUGUUCAGGCAAGAAUAAAACCUUGGUGGUGGUUGAUCCUGAGUGGCAUCAUUUGCUGUCAGUCCUCAUGCGAGGACAGAAGGAUAGUGGUGCAAAGGAGGCACAGUGGCCCUGAUUUGCUCGAGGGCUCAGGAUGAGAGCCGUAAUGUACCUCAAGUGGUGGCAGCUGCUGAUGCAUGUCUGAAAACUUCCAGAUGAGAUGUCACAGCCACUGGGAAUGGACUGCAUGUCAUGUCAUGCAUGCCAAAGGUUUUUCUGCUCUGAGAGGUCCAAAGAGCCAUUGGCAAGUGACAGCGAGGGCAGCAGGAUCUCCGAGGGUAGUUGGGAGUGGCUGCAAGGGCAGUAGGAGCCGUCCAUGGUGAGCAAAGGGCUGCACCACCGAAGUGGCAGAGGAGGAGGAGCUAGAGAGAUGUUUGCUGUCUGGACAAUCUUCUUGGAUGUGUUGCACCAGGUUGCUGUGGCAAAGGCUGCUUUGGAUUUUGACCACAAGAGGAAGCACAGUUAAUGAAGAACGGUUUGACCAGAAGGCUUUUACUGAAACUUGAAAACAACUUAACUUGAAAUGUUUGCUUGUUUAAUAGCAGAGUAUGGACAACUAACAAGGUCAGUUUAUGACUAAGGCAGUGUGACAUAGCUAUUGGUUUGCACAUACUUUGUAUUUUUAUUUUGAGACUGGAGUCCAAACAAGUCCCAUUCUUCCCUCCAAACCUGAAGUUGCUAAUAGCUUUUGAAUGGACAUGAUACGAAGCCUCUGGAAACUGUAUGUACUUGAAUCCAGAUCAAAAAGCUCAUGAGCUUGACAAAUAUUUCUCAAGGCAAAUGAUUCUGAGUGGCUGUUUUUGGAAUUAACAGACAAUGAGGCUUUGGGUUACUCUCUCUUUCGCUCACCUUGGAAAUGCCACAGUGGGAACUGCCUUGCUCUUGAAGUAGGACCAAUCCAGGUACUCCAGGAAGUGGUGUGCAUGAUUCAGUAGGUGGUAUGCUUCCUUCUGGGUCAUACUGAAUCAACAUUUUAGUGUGGCAUUGAAAGAUGCCUGAGACAUGAAACCAGGGCCAUGAUGUACCUUUGCUUUUAUCCCUUUAUUUUUGAGUGGGUUAGACGGGCAGCUGAUCUAACUACAAAUAAACAUUGCAAUCAUGGAUUGCCACACUUUGAAUGUUAGUCUGAAAACAGUCAGUGUUUUGAGCUGGCAAGUGUAAGUGUUGAUAACUCUGAUAGUAAGGGCAUGCUGGAACAGCUGUAGUCAUACCAGUGGAAAGAUAAUAGCAUAUACUAGGGAAAGAUUUGUGAUACAAAUUCUUUUUAAAAAGAGAGCCAGUAAUUGUGUUCAUGGUCUGUGUUGAUGAGCUUCUCCAGUUACAUUGUCUUGUACCCUGCCCCUUCAAUAUAAAACGACAGGACCAGCAUUUCUCUAUAAACUUGAGUAUGUUCUAUGUACAUUUGGAUUCCCAAGAAUAGAGCAAUGGUGCUGUACUCCUUAAUGCCAGCACAAAUACAGUUGUGGCAGUGUACACUUGGCAUUGAAAGCAAUAGGAUGCAAAGCAUUAUGGUGUUCCUUUACCGGCAAUUGUUCAUUGGCAGGGCUCAGGAAAUCCACUAGUCUAUUUGUCUGUGACAAGUGAAAACAUGCUUGAUGACAGUGAAACAAAUCCUGACGAGUAAUGUACCAAUAUAACUUGACGAGUAAAAAUGUUUUGUCUGGCUGGUGAACAGAGCCAACAUUUCUUCUGAGAUUUUUGUAUGUAUGCUAUGACAUUUUCUUCUUCUUCAUCCAGCUCUGUUCAGAUUUUAACUUUUAACUGCUGGUCGCUUACUGCAAUAAAGUUUCAUUCAUUCA